UUUUUUUUUUUUUUUUUUUUUUUUGUCUUUUUGCCAUUUCCUGGGCCGCUCCUGAGGCAUAUGGAGGUUCCCAGGCUAGGGAUCCAAUCGGAGCCGUAGCUGCCAGCCUACGCCAGAGCCACAGCAACGUGGGAUCCGAGCCGCAUCUGCAACCUACACCACAGCUCACGGCAACGCCGGAUCCUUAACCCACUGAGCAAGGGCAGGGGUCGAACCCUCAACCUCAUGGUUCCUAGUCGGAUUCGUUAACCACUGCGCCAUGACGGGAACUCCACAUGAAGGUAUCUUCUAACCACAUUGUCAUCUGCUGUGCUUGGUCAACUAGGAAAAUCAUCUCUGAGAGAUUCUGAAUGUGAACCAUACAGAGAGAGGAACACAAAAUGAGGGAUGAAAAAAGCAAAAGCUCAGCCACUUUAAAAUUAAGUACUUCUGUUCACCAGAAGACCAGCUACACAGGGAAGAGAGAAGCCACAAAAUGGGAGAAAAUAUUUGCAACGUGAUGCGAUUAAUUGUUACAUAAAGGAGUUCUUAAACAUUAACAUGAGAUAGACAACCCCAAAGCUCUAACCCAAAGGAAAAUUCACAAAAGGAAAAAUUCAAGUAGCCAGGGAAAUGCACCUGCUGCCUGACUGAUGGGAAAAGUGUGACCUCCCUGCGGCCGCUCGGGUUCUUGUUUGCCCUGUUCAGGCAAGUUGGAAAGUGCAGGAAUGUGAGGUAAUAGAUUUUCCCAAGUUCCAUCAGGACAGUUAAACUAAUGCCUCUGUUUGUGGCUAUUUGAGUAAAGUCCUCUCCGGGUUAUCUCAGCCAAAGGUCAGCCACGUGGACUCUACAGCCCUGUACUGGACUAUGCUCCCUGCCUGGAGGUGGCUGCCCCCGGAGAGGAGGAAGGAGGGCAGAAACAGUAAAGGCAUCACCAUCUGAAAAAUUCCCUACAAGAGCCCAAGCACUGCGAUGACUCCUCCAAGCUCAGUAAAACAACCCCCCCCAACACCCCCCCCCCCAUGAAUCGAUCCACAAACACUGUCUGUAAACCCUGGUGCCACUUAGGAGAAGGCAAGUGGGAGGAAGGUCUUUGCUGUACAGUCUUUCAAGCGGACAAGGAAAAAAACAGAGAAAAAAUUGACCUAAAAGCAAUACAAUUAGCAAAGUAAAGCAUGGCCUCGCCAGUAGGUUAGUGGGAAGAGACAGGGGGAGAAAUGAGUUUGUUUAAUAUUCCUUCCCUCAUUCAGUCCUUUACUUCACAAACAUUACUUAAGGUCCAACUCUGUGCCAUCCACGGGGAUGGGGCCUAGAAGCCCAAAACAAACAGGACACAGACCCUGCCGACGUGGCUAGAAGUGAGAGGCAGGCAGACGAGCUAAUGAAAGCCCAGCUAUGUCAUCGGAGCUGUCAUGGACCCGGGUACAAGGGUCAGGGCGAUUCCCUCCAGGUGGGGGGUCUGAGGGCAGGAGGAGGCUUUUGAGAUGGGGUGGCCAGGUGACGGCUGUGAUGAGCGAGGGAGGAGAGCAGGCUCACGGGCUGGUGCCAGGGCAACCGCUGUAAUCUUGAAAAGCCAGGCUCCCAAAGCAACUGUUUCUGUGGCCACUGAAACGUAGUAAGCAGCAACUGUAUCAAAAAGGUGCAUGUUUGAGGCGCAUGUGAUGAUGGGCAACUACUGAACUGGAGGAACAACUUGGACCUGCUGGUGGGAGCUCUGUACCCUCACUGGGGCAGCUGGUUAUCACACUGGUGACACCUAAUUGGCACAGAAACCUCCUUGAUGAGGCAAAGAGCAAGCGGUCCCACCAAGUCUCCUUUUAGGAGGUUUGCUACUCUGGGGAGUUCCCGUUGUGGCUCAGCUGGUUAUGAACCCUGGUAUCCCUGAGGGGAUGUGGGUUUGCUCCCUGGCCUGCAUUGCUGUGGCUGUGGUGUAGGCUGGCAGCUGUAGGUCCAAUUCGACCCCUAGCCUGGAAACCUCCAUAUGCUGCAGGUGUGGCCCUAAAAAGCAAAAGAUAAAAAAAUAAAAUUGCCACUCUGGAACAGACAGAAAGGAUGGUCCCCAUGGAUGGACUCUGGAGGUGGACAAACCUAAGUUGGACACCUCAUUCCUCAUUUAACAGAUGGACCAAAGGCUUGUGUUAGUAAGUUAUUGGUUGCAAGUAAUAAACACUCACGCCAGGAUAGGUGAAAAAGUUCAACUGUUAAAUUGAACAUUAACCAUUCAGUUCAACAUUAAUUGAUCCAGGGCUGUCUUCUAACACAAGAGAGCAGGAAGGUAUCCAGUCCCAGGAAGGACCACAGCUGGUGGGAGGCCGCCCACCAGGAAUCCUGUGGUGCACCCCCCUGCCCCCGUCUCUGCUCUCUCUGGGCACCUGCUUUCUCUGCCUGUCUGGCUGGCUGGCCGUCCCUCCCCAUCCCUGCCUCAGCAUAGCAGAAUAUGUCCUUGCUUACAUCUUAUAGCUCUUACCCCAAGGAAAGCCUGGACUUCUCUUUGGACACAGUUCCAGAUGCCUGGGGGAUCGGGGAGAGGAGGGCUCUGACUCAGCUGAGGACAGAAGCACAGGGUUCCUGCUCAACAGGUAUCUGCUGGGAGCUACCUCUGUGGACAAGAGGCAAGGGUUCUUGUGAGUUGGACAGGCGCCCCCAAGGAGGUCAACAAUUACUCAUAUCUCUGGACCCUGGACGCUGAAGAUAAGAGUCAGCGCUUUACCUGGUCGUCGAACAGAUUUGAUAAGUUAGUGUUUGUAAAGAACGGCCAGGUAGUAGGUCCUGAGGAAAAUGGAGGUGAUUAUAAUCAUUACAUUAGCCAAUAAAGCCACCAUGUGAUCUCUUUUUAGGAAAACCCAGUUUAGGGGGCUGGCAUGCAGCCUUCUUUCCUCCACUAAAGCUGUUCGUAUUAACAUAAGGAUGCAGGCCGGCUUCUCUUCUUUGCCUCAGCCACCAUGGCUCUCAUCUUAGUUACCACGUGCAGCUCCCAUCCCCACAUCCCCCCAGGUUUCUUUGCUAUUACAAAUCAAUCACUUACUUUUUGGGCCCCUGCCACCCCCGCAGGUCAUGGCUGCAUUUACGUUUAUACGGUGAUUAUCCACCUUUCUUCUUUAUUCAACUUUAAAUUUGUAGGCUGACAGACCACAUCUAAAUAUCCAGGACACUGCUGGGCAUCUAGUGUUCACUGGAUAAUAUUUGUUGAUUCAUCAUGUUUUCACAUCAAGGGCAAUAUCCUUUUAUAGAUCCAUAAAAGGCAUCUCAAGAACUCAUUUAUUUCGGGCUGCUGCCUUCGGGCAGGCUAAAGUGUAAGCAUUCUAAGUAAAUGACCCCGUGUUUUAUUUCCGCUCUCACGUGGGCGGAGAGUCACACAACCUGGGAUUCCGGACUCGGAAGUCACACCUCGGCCUCAGGCAGCUCCUGGAGGCAGGAUUCCUGCCCUGAGACCUGGGCGGCUGGUCUCCCCUCGCUCCGGACGCUUAUUGCCAUCCUAGGAGGCUCACCCCAGCUUUAUCCCUUUACAGUUGAGGGAGUUCUUUGUGCGAAGAAUCUCCAAUCUACUUCUGCGUCAGUUCCAUCACAUGUUCCUAAUCCUGCAGGACCAGGAUGAACGCCUUUCUCCCACAGCGGCCGUCCUCACACACAGAAGGAGGGUCGGGUUCCCCCUCCAGGUCCUCUCUGAGCCUCUUCUCUUCCACCCAAGUGUCCUCAAGAGCUUCUCUACAAGGGGUUGUUUACAGAUGCUUUGCCUCCCCUUUUGCACCUUGAUAGGUUAUGUUUCUCUUUGUUCCCUGUCUUAGAGUUUAGAACCCAGCCCAUGACACUCAGUUUGGUCUGACUGCUGAGGGGGAAAGGGGGAAGGGGGAAGGGUUAGGACCUGUGUUCUAAAUCUAGCUCCUAUGAGUUUUUUUUUAAAAUGCUGUGUACAUUUUUUUUUUUUUUGGCCAUGCCUGCAGCAUGCGGAAGUUCCAGGGAUUGAACCCGCGCCACAGCAGUGACAACACCAGACCCUUAAAUCACUGAGCCACCAGGGAACUCCAGAUGCUGUGUAAAUUUGAGCAAGGUUUCCGUUUGGGGAGAGAACCAUCACAAUUUUGUCUCAUAUUAGCUUCAAAAUCAUCCUGUAUUUUUUCCAAAAAAUGGAAAUUACUUUUUAAAGAACAAAUGUGAUAUAUGUCUAUUACGGAAAAUUCAGGGAAACAAAAGAGCAAAACAUAAAGGGACUAAUGACUACAUUGUAAACCUUCCCUUUCGCGAUAACUAUUGCUUACAUUUUGGUAUAUAUUCUAGACAUCAUUUUCUAUGCGUAAACACACACACACACGCUCGCUGUUACCAAAGUGGGACUACGCAUCUUUGGUAAAUUAAAGACGGCUGCUAAUUCUUUGCUACUUUGUGAUGAACAUGAUAGAAGACAAUUUGAGAAAAAGAAUAUAUGACAUACAUAGGUAUAUGUAUAACUGGGUCACUUUUCUGUACAGCAGACAUUGACCAAACAUUUUAAAUCAACUAUAAUUU
rnacentral:lncRNA from 1 species